UGGUGGAGUGAUUUGUCUGGUUAAUUCCGAUAACGAACGAGACCUUAACCUGCUAAAUAGCCCGGCCGACUUUGGUUGGUCGCUGGCUUCUUAGAGGGACUAUCGGCGUUUAGCCGAUGGAAGUUUGAGGCAAUAACA
rnacentral:rRNA from 1 species